AAAUUAUAUAGAAAUUUAGGUGCCUUCGUAAAAGAAGGGUAAAAGGGAAUGUAGUAAAAGCUACAACAGCCCCCGCUACUGUGAUUGAGGACAAACUUUCAAACAUACCACUCUAAGGUUUAGGGGAAGGUGAAAGUGAGGAUGAUUCAUAAGUCAGGAAACCUGCCUAGAUGGAUUCUAAGAGC
rnacentral:ncRNA from 13 species